rnacentral:rRNA from 1 species
GAAUGAACGUUGGCGGCGUGGAUUAGGCAUGCAAGUCGAGCGAGAACCCGCAAGGGGGGACAGCGGCGAACGGGGUAGGAACACGUAGGUAACGUACCCCCGGGGCGAGGACAGCCACGGGAAACUGUGGGUAAUACUCGAUAAACUUCCCAAUCAUUAUCGGAGGGGAAGCAAUGGGUGUGAUUUCCACCUGGGGGAGCGGCUUACGCAGUAUCAGCCUGUUGGUGAGGUAACGGCUCACCAAGGCGACGACGCGUUAGGGGGGUGUGAGAGCAUCGGCCCCCCACCACUGGCACUGAGACACUGGCCAGACACCUACGGGUGGCUGCAGUCGAGAAUCUUCGGCAAUGGACGCAAGUCUGACCGAGCGACGCCG